GCUGCCUGAUUUAUGACGCCCUCUCUCUCUAUCUCUCGCUCAGGCCCCUGCAAGCUCUCGGCAGAGACUCAGUCUAAUCAAUUUUCUAUUUUUUUUUUUUCAAAAUUUUAAAAUUCUCCCACGAAUUUAGAGAGGCUUUUUACGUAAAGGAUAAAAGGUAAAGACAGGGUUUUUUUUCCCGCAAUGGUGUGAAUGGAAUCCGAGAAAAAGAGAGAGAAAGUUUGGGAAAGAGAGAGAAAGUCUGAGAGAGAGUUCCGUGGGUGAACGUGAUUCGUGGAAGCCAUCUUUAUCUGAUGCAUUUGCGCGUGAAGGGAUUGGUGGGAAGCAGUGGGUUUUUCUUUUUUUUGCCAUGCAUCUUUGAUGUUAUCCACAGCCACAGCCACAGCCCACAGGCCUGUAACUCUCUUCUCACUCUCCUCUCUUUCAUGCAUUUGUUGUUUUAUUUAUUUAUUUUAUUAUUAUUCUAUUCCUUUUCUAGAACCCAUAUCACCAUUGUCUUUGUUUUCACUUGGAAAUUAGGUUACCUACACCAUUUUCUUUUAUCAUAUAUGUACAUAUGUUGCAAUGGUUGGAAAAUUCUCAAAAACCCAUAUUUAAUUUUCAAUUUUUCUUCAAAUUUUGUGGGGGAUUUUACUUUAAAGUGCAUAUUUGAGAUGGGUUUGUAUUUUAAAGCAUAAAAGUUUGACGAGUUUGGGGCUAUUUAAUUAUUUGGACAUUGAUUUCAUUGACACUUUCAACUUUUGACAGAAUUUCACAUUAGGGUUUUGAUAUUGGAAGAGUUUUUAAAUCCUUGGCUUCUCCCAAGUGAAGCUUCCCAAGCCAUAAGUCACAUACUGGUUUGAUUGAUACUUUAAAUUUGGUAUUUGCAAAGAGUUUUUGUUUUUCUUGUAAAAAUUAGGAAAGUUCUGAACCAUAGACCAGGCCAAAGUGGAGACUCUCAAGGCUUAACCCAAGCUAACAUGCCAUUGAUUUGAUUGAUACCACAAAUUUGAAAGUGGGUUUACUCAAAUUUGAAGUUUGAGAAGGGUUUGUUCUUUUAUGGGGAUUGUUUAAAAAUUGUAGUGUUGGGGUAAAAUGCUAAUACUUUCUCCCUGUGCACACAGCAAGUUCAUGCUUGCAAAGAGUGUCAGAUUGCAACUUUACAUAUAAAAAAUUUGUUUUAAUCCAAUACAUAGUUGUUCUGUUUAUGGAUAAUAUUACAGCAGUGAAAAUGUACCCUUUUCUCAAGGUUGCAUUUUCACUGUUUGUUGCUGCCUGAAAGCUCUGCUAAUAGACUCAGAAGCCAUGCCUCUGCCACCACCAAUUAGUAGUAAAAGAGAAAAUAUAUGAAGUGAAACUAAUGUUUCAUAAGAAAAAGGCAGUAGGAAAGGGAAAGAGAGAGGAUGGUAUGGAGCAUUUCUGUCUUUAACAUGCUGUGAAAUGCCUUUACAAAAGGUCCAAGUUCUCUGUUUCAUGAACACAGACUCAACAUUUUUAUAUAUAUGCAUUUUCUUUAUAUUGGGGGAAAUAAAAAACAGAGAGAAGGUUACAACAGUAAUGGAGAUUCUUCUGUCAGUCUCUAUAGCCUUUUGCUGACGUUUUUUUAAGAGUCUGGUCCCAUAGUACAAGCUUGCAGGCUAGAUGUGAGAAUGCCCCAUCAAACAUUCUGUGCCCAAAAUGCCCUCUAGAUGUAUAUUUUCGGUAGUAGUUACUGGUAAAUGAGGAAAUAUUCCUGAGGAUUCAUAGCAAUUAACCUUUUAGAUGUUACUGCCUUAGAAAUUCACCGGUUGUUGUCACCUUCUCCUUCACAUGGCUUUCUCUAUUAUUUUUGGAAGCUUCUUAUGUGUUUCUGUGAUCAUCAUCAUCAUCCUCUAACCAACUAAGCGAUUAGGAUUGAGGACUUGCUGCUACCCUUCACUUAUCAUAGCAUUUGAAUUCUGUAAUCAAAUGGUGCUCAAACUAUAAGCAGUGAUCCUAAACCCCUUCAUCGGACCUAAAACUGAUUGCCGCCAAUAAAAUCAGACAAAAGCUAGUUGAGUUGUGGUGGUUAGAAUUGCUGUAUGAUUGUUGGUUCUGCAUUAUGUGGGAUGAUACUCCCGUUACUUUUUAAAAAAAACACAAUAUCAUGUCUUAAUUUUUCCUUCUAAAAAUUGAGAGUGAUUCUGGAUUGUAUAUUGUCAAUUAUUUCAAUCGGGUGGGGGGUUACAAGUUUGGAUUGUGUAUUUUGUGUCAAUAUGGUGAGAUGAUAAUAGUAUUUUAAGUGUAGUGAAAAAGGGAAGGAAAGGAAAGGAAAUCUAGGGACCCUUGUAACUACCCAUUUAAAGCAGGUAAUGAAAUGGUAACAACCUAUGCUUUGCCAAAACAGGGAAAAAUCCAAAAGAAUUUAAAAACCCUAGACCAUCAGCCAGCUAUUUAUAACACCCAUGAGACCCCUCUGGACUCCGGAUCAGCCUCUGCCCCUGCAUUUUGUACUUUGCCUCUCAGGAAAGGAAAAAAAAGUAACAAACCACAUUCUCCCAACCGACCUUCUCUCUUUAACAUUCCAUUUUUCCACCACCCUGUUUGGUUUGAGAGAAAAAAGAAGAGAGGGCGGGAGAGGGAGGGAGAUGAGGGGUCGAUCUUCAAAGCAAGGUGGCAAAGAAGGAAUGGACAUAGACAAGAUUCAUAAGCUGAAAGAAGAGCCUCAUCUCUCUGGAGCUUAUAUUCGUAGCCUUGUUAAACAACUAACCUCUUCAAGAACCAAGGACCCCAUGAACCCCAAAGACUCGGAUACUGUUGAUGGGGAUGGCUUUUCUGGCCAAAACAUCGCUAAAUUCGGCGAAGGUUUUGGUGAAAAUCAGCAGGCCCAUCAAACCCAACAACCCCAACAACACAAAAAACAAGUUAGGAGGAGACUUCACACCAGUAGGCCUUAUCAAGAAAGGCUCCUAAACAUGGCUGAGGCAAGGAGAGAGAUUGUCACUGCACUUAAGUUCCACAGAGCUGCAAUGAAACAAGCCAAUGAACAGCAGCAACAGCAGCAGCAGCAACAACAACAACAACAAUCCCCGCCGCUUCAAUCUCCUCCUCAACCAUCUUUGGAGCCGGAAGCAAAAAUAAAAUCUAGAAGAAAUCCUAGGAUAUACCCUUCAAGCACUGCCAAUUUCUCCAAUUAUCUAGACAGCCUCUCUUACUCAUCUUUCUCCUGUGCCCCUCCAAACCCUUACUCCUGGUCUGCAUCUCCAAGUGCUCCACCACCCCCUCCUCUUUCCGAUAAUAUUAACUUUGCUCUCCCUAACCAAACCUUAGGCCUGAAUCUCAAUUUUCAUGAUUUCAACAACCUGGAUGCCUCCCUGUACCACACCACCAACAACCCAUCAUCAAUCUACUCAUCCUCAUCUCCCUCAUCGUCUUCUUCCCCCACACUUUCCAUUGCCACGGAGGAGGUUCGAUGCUUUGCAACAUCACAGGAGGGCCCUCCAGUGGUUGCUGCAGACUCUAGUGUCAUGACCGGAGGAGGGUUUCAUCCAGCGAUGGAUGAUGAGGAGAUGGCUGAGAUCAGGUGGAUAGGAGAGCAGCACCAGAUGGAAUGGAACGAUAACUUGAAUUUGGCGACAUCAGCAUGGUGGUUCAAGUUCUUGAAGGCCAUGGAAAUUGGCCCAGAAGCCACAAAUGUAGAAGAUGAUGGAUACCAUCCCUUUGAUGAAGUCAUGGAUUAUCCAGCUUGGUUGAGUGGGAAUGAGAGCUGCUUGGUUCCACGUUUGGAUGACUGCUGCUCAAUGGACUACUUGCAAGAUCCAGCCUUGCCUUGUCAAGGAUAAAGUAGGGAUAGUUUUGGUGGUUGCAGUGUUUGAAGAUGAUGUAGGUUCAAUGGAGAGAUGAUAUAUGGGUGGGUAGUGGUUGGAUUGACAAAGGAUAUAUAGUUGUGGUGGGUUUUGAUUAAAACUUGGAUGGUGAUCCUCUGUGAAGAAGUUUUCACAACAAAAAUGAUACUGUUUGUAGAAAUGGCGGGGUGAAGGUGGUGGAAAUAUAGUUCUAGUUGAUGCAACAACCAUAGAUUUACCAUUGGCAAUGGUAGCCUCCUCUGACAAUGAAUCAGAGGUCCUGAAUUCCACCCGUCUCGAUAUUUAAACGAUGUAGCAUGGAGCAUGGACAUUGGAGAAAUUGAAGGAAUGGAUGGGGAGUGGCUAGCCUGAGAGAUUGA